rnacentral:rRNA from 1 species
GAUUAACGCUAGCGGCAGGCCUAACACAUGCAAGUCGAGGGGCAGCACGAGUAGCAAUACUUGGUGGCGACCGGCGCACGGGUGCGUAACGCGUAUGUAAUCUACCCUUAACUGGGGCAUAGCUCAAAGAAAUCUGAAUUAAUUCCCCAUAACACUGCGACUAGGCAUCUAGAUGCAGUUAAAGCUCCGGCGGUUAAGGAUGAGCAUGCGUACCAUUAGCUAGUUGGUGAGGUAACGGCUCACCAAGGCUACGAUGGUUAGGGGGUCUGAGAGGAUGAUCCCCCACACUGGUACUGAGACACGGACCAGACUCCUACGGGAGGCAGCAGUGAGGAAUAUUGGUCAAUGGGCGCAAGCCUGAACCAGCCAUGCCGCGUGAAGGACGAAGGCCCUAUGGGUCGUAAACUUCUUUUGUACGGGACGAAACCCUCGAACGUGUCCGAGGCUGACGGUACCGUAAGAAUAAGCAUCGGCUAACUCCGUGCCAGCAGCCGCGGUAAUACGGAGGAUGCAAGCGUUAUCCGGAUUCACUGGGUUUAAAGGGUGCGUAGGCGGAACGGUAAGUCAGUGGUGAAAGCCUGCAGCUUAACUGCAGAACUGCCAUUGAUACUAUCGUUCUUGAGUAUGGUUGAGGUGGGCGGAAUGUGUAAUGUAGCGGUGAAAUGCUUAGAUAUUACACAGAACACCGAUUGCGAAGGCAGCUCACUAAGCCAUUACUGACGCUCAGGCACGAAAGCGUGGGGAUCAAACAGGAUUAGAUACCCUGGUAGUCCACGCCGUAAACGAUGAUCACUCGCUGUUGGCAAUAUAUUGUUCA